AGUUGGAAAAAACUGUACUUUUCUGUUAUUGAUGUUCAUUGUUUGUCUUUCUUUACAGUGCCUUCAAAAUUCAUAAUGCUGGUACAUCAUUUGUUUUUGCCUCGGAGCGACAAGAAGAUAUGAAAAAAUGGAUGAAUAAGAUGGGGUUAGCUGCUAUAUCCUUCUUCCUCCGAGGGUAAUCAAACAAGAUCAGACUAAAACCAAUGAAUAUUACAGCGAGAGUUCUGAUGAAGAUUUUCAUCCGUCUACAGCUAGCAGUAUGGAGUCACUUAACAGUGUAGGACAGAGCACCG